rnacentral:rRNA from 1 species
UACGAGUGCCCCAAGCGUUAUCCGGAAUCAUUGGGCGUAAAGGGUGUGUAGGUGGCGAUGUUAGUCUUCUGUCAAAUUCUUCGGCUUAACCGGGGGUCCGCAGGGGAAACGGCAUUGCUCGAGGAUGCGGGGGGUGAAUGGAACUCAUGGAGUAGGGGUGAAAUCCGUUGAUAUCAUGGGGAACACCAAAAGCGAAGGCAAUUCACUGGCGCAUUCCUGACACUGAAACACGAAAGCGUGGGGAGCGAACAGG